CGGGUCCAAAGCUCACGUGGAGAUCUACCCCGGGCAUACUUUUUGGCCCAUUUGGAAGACAAACACCCUGGUCCAGUUCUCCCCCGACACGGAGGGAUACCCGUGGAAGCGCUCCCGGCCACCCGAGGUCGGGCAAGCUUCCCUAGUUUGGAAGGGACACGAGCGGAUCCGAGCGAAGCGACCGCGCGUCCGCGCCCUCCGUCGCCACCACCAUCCGCUCCGCCGCCGCUCCAUCGUCGUCCACAUUGCUGCCAUCCGCUCUGCCGCUACUCCAUCGUCGUCCUUCCCCGAAGCAGUCGUGAGCGAGACGUGAGGCGACGGUGCCCUCCACCACCGCCACCGUCUCGGAUUUGUCGUCAUUCACCGCCAUCUCUGCCUCAGUUUGCUGUCCUCCACCACCGUCUUCCGCGGCACUAUGUACAAUACAAUGUUGUCUCCAAGACCCAGUACAUGGUCUUCUCCAAGAUCCAGUACAAGAUCGUCUCCUCCAAGAUUUGAACCCCAACGCUAGUGAGAGUGGAGGCAACACAUGAAACCAACAUGGAGAAGAAAAAUGAAAUGGCAUUCCACAUGAAGCUUGUGAAAAAGAGUUAAACUCGUAAUUUAUUCUAGUGCAGAAGUUCCUAACCAAGAGAUUUGUAUUCCAUUUUUUAUAUUAUAUUGUCUAUCUAUAUGUGUGAAUAAAGGUGACCUUAUAUGAUGUGAUGAUGUAUGAAUUAGCUUCAAUGGAUAUUAUAUGGUAUUCAAAUUAAACUUUACAUGAAUUAUAUGUGGUGCAUUAUUUUUGGA